AUGGCUCGCUGGCAGGACGCACAAUGGCGGGUUCCUCUCGACGGGGCUAGCACCCUUGCGAGGAUGGUCAUAGACUACAACAUCCCUCCGGUAGGGUACCUGGGCAUUGGGAGCCUCCGCAACGUCACCCAGCUACACUCCCUGGUGAAGUGCCACCAUCGGUUCCAGAUUGGAAACACUGAGGGGUAUGUGUCCGGCCGAAACUUAAAUCUUCAGCGAGGGUCUAUGCCAGUGGCGACGACGCCCAAGGGUGUUGUUUUCCUUCUUGAAGGCGUCAUCGAAGUGCUUGCUCGCACAUCUCCGGUUGGGCAUGUUUAUGGUGGAGUACGGCCUGGGUUCAACGAAAAAGAAGAGAACGUCAAAAAAGGUGUGCUGUUAGCGAAAAUUCAAAUGAGGACGGCAGAAGUUGGAGCUAAUGGGAUCCGAUCGGAACGAUCCUCUCCACGUCAACUGUAUAUCUGUGUCGGCCUUCCAUCUGAUCAUCACAAACCCAAAGCAUACCAUCUCCUCUCCUUUCAUCUCAUGGCUGCUCCCGCUCUCAAGUUCACCGCCUUCGUCCUCCUGGCCGCCCUCUGCGCGGCCGCGCUGGCCCCGGCUGCGUCGGGGCAGCCGACGAACGCUCUAGAGACGUGCAUCGGGCGCUGCGGGUGUGUGCCCUGCCCGAAAGGGAAGGUCUGCAUCGCUGUGUGCACGCCCCCGCCGCCCUGCGAGGCCAGAUGCCGCUGCACCUAUUCCGGCACGGGCUGCUAG
rnacentral:rRNA from 1 species